rnacentral:rRNA from 1 species
AGGAUGAACGCUGGCGGCGUGCUUAACACAUGCAAGUCGAACGAUGAUGCCAGCUUGCUGGUGGAUUAGUGGCGAACGGGUGAGUAACACGUGAGUAACCUGCCCUUAACUCUGGGAUAAGCCUGGGAAACUGGGUCUAAUACCGGAUAUGACUCCUCAUCGCAUGGGUGGGGGGUGGAAAGUCUUUUUGUGGUUUUGGAUGGACUCGCGGCCUAUCAGCUUGUUGGUGAGGUAAUGGCUCACCAAGGCGACGGACGGGUAGCCGGCCUGGAGGACGGGUCGACCGGCCAACGACGUGGGACUGAGACGACGGCCCAGACCGUCCGUAACGGGAGGCAGCGAGGUAGGGGAAUUAUUGACAACGAAGUGGGACGAAAGCCUUAGGAUGCGACGGCGGACCGCCGCGUACGGA